rnacentral:rRNA from 1 species
GACUAACUCUGGCGGCGUUCUUAACACAUGCAAGUGGUGCGACGAACCAGGGCUUGCCCUGGGGCUAAGCCGCGAACGGGUGAUUAACACGGGAGUAAUCUGCCCCGAUGACCGGGACAACCCGAGGAAACUCGGGCUAAUACCGGAUGUCGUGCACAGGCGUAAGCCCGUGUACUAAAGCAAGCUUCGGCCUCCGCAUUCGGAGGAGCUCGCGCCCCAUUAGCUUGUUGGUGGGGUAACGGCAUACCACGACAACGCUGGGUAGCUGUGCUGACAGGACGAUCAGCCACACUGGGACUGAGACACGGCCCAGACUCCUACGGAAGGCAGCAUUGGGGAAUCUUGCGCAAUGCGAGAAAGCGUGACGCAGCAACGCCGCGUGGGGGAAGACGGCCUUCGGGUUGUAAACCCCUUUCAGGAGGGACGAAGGUUCACCGGUGAAUAGCCGUGUGGAUUGACGGUACCUCCACAAGAAGCUCCGGCUAACUACGUGCCAGCCGCCGCAGUAAAAC